AUCAGUCGACUACUACUAUAACGUAACGUGUAGCAAUUAUUACUGUCAACUGGAAUCAUACCUAUAUACUAAAUAUAAAUUGUUAAGACCCUAACGUUUAACCGAAAUAUAUUAAAAUCAAAGCAUAAAAUAAAUUUUGUGUCUCCUAAGAAUAUCUUAUUAUCCGCGUAUCUAUUUCGGUUUAUUGCAAAUAUGCUGUUAAAAUUUAUCGUUUCGUAUGUUAUUAUUUAUUCUUUUAUGUUAGUGUCAGUACACGGUGAUGGUGAGUUUGGUCCUGAUUUGCCACAACAAGAGCUCCUUUCAAAUCCAUAUUCCUCUGAUGGCCCUGGCAAUCCACCUGUUCCCAAUCACCAUGGCAUUCCUUCUAACAAUAAUCACAAUACCAAUUAACCUGGUUAAUUGAGCCACUUCUAACUAUUUAAUUGUUUACACCUUCUAACCACUAGAAUAUUGGGAUGCCAUUAAUUGCAUAUGCUAUAAAAAUAAUAUAUUAUAAAAAACCUGCUUUGUUAAUUAUAUAAUAACUUUAUUUUAGAUUUAAAAUAACAUAAAAGUCAAUAUUUGUCCGUACAGUCAUUGUGUAAUACAUUUUGCAUUAUUGUUGAAAUAAAAUAAUUUUUAAUUUCUGUUUGAUUGUUAUAUUGAUUACUUGGGUCUUCAUAUUAACUAUGAAGAUCCUGCGAGACAUUAGUUAUUGGUUCCUGAUAUUGAAAACCACAACUCCAAUAUUAAGACAAAACUAUUACUUAAGAUUGUCUUUUUUUUAAAAAUAAAAUACCUUUUUU